rnacentral:lncRNA from 1 species
CUGCCUGGCCGUCGCCGCCUAUAAGCUACCAGGAGGAGCUUUACGACUUCCCGGCCUGCGGGAAGUGGCGGGCACGAUCGCAAGGUAGCGCAGAAGCUUCUCAAUGGCCAGCGCCAGCUGCAGCCCCUGCGGCGCACUCGCCUCACCUGAGCCUGGGAGGAAAAUUCUUCCAAGGAUGAUCUCCCACUCAGAGCUGAGGAAGCUUUUCUACUCAGCAGAUGCUGUGUGUUUUGAUGUUGACAGCACGGUCAUCAGUGAAGAAGGAAUCGGAUGCUUUCAUUGGAUUUGGAGGAAAUGUGAUCAGGCAACAAGUCAAGGAUAACGCCAAAUGGAUGCUUGCUCUUUGAACUCAGCCACCAUGCUGUGAGGAAGCCCAGAUCACAAGGAGAGGCCACAUUUUGAUGUUCCAGUCAACAGUCCCAGCACAGGUUUCAGAUGACAGCCAACAUCAGUUGCCGGACAUGAGACUGAAGAAGGCUUUGUGAAGACUCCAGCCCCAGCCACUGCAACAGCAUGAGAGACCCCAAGUGAAAAUCACCUGCCUGAACCCAUCAACUCCCAGAACCAUGAAAAUAAAAAACUUUUUUUUUUCCAGAUGGAGU